AGAAUAUCUAACAAAAUUCUACGGACAUCGCUUUCUCUUGCAGACCUUCUCCUUCGAAAACCUAGAAUUUCAGUACUCAUCCUACCUUCUCUUUGCCCAAUCAACCUCUUAUCGCUUCCAUCCACGCUUCAUAUCAAUGGAUUGAGUGUUCUGUAAUCAAUUUUUUCUUCCUUUCAGCUUCGUCUCUCCUGUCCGACGCCUCCCGUUUGGCAGGACCUCAGUAGCUGACAGAA
rnacentral:misc_RNA from 1 species